GGGGAUAUAGCUCAGUGGUAGAGCACAUGCUUAGCAUGCAGGAGGUCCUGGGUUCAAUCCCCAGUACCUCCA
rnacentral:tRNA from 1 species